rnacentral:misc_RNA from 1 species
AACGAGCUCGUCGCACACUUCUGUUCUAUAAUCUACAUUCUAUUUUGAAGUCUGAAACAUAUUAAACUUUUCUUUGUUUGAAAUAAGCUUGUUUCGUAUUCAUUGUUGCUUCUUCUUACGAUAUUUAUGUUUAUUCAAUAUGGAAGAGAAUAAAGCUGAAGCAGAUAGUUCAUUAGAGACUGUAAAUAAAAUUGAAUGUGCUGUAUGCCUCCAGCCAUGCGUACAGCCGGUUAUGUUACCUUGUCGCCAUGUAUUUUGCUUUUUAUGUGUAAAAGGAGUCACUCAUCAAAGUAAGCGGUGUGCCAUGUGCCGACAGGAAAUUCCCUCUAAUUAUUUGGAUAAUCCUCAGUUAAUUGAGAACACGCCAUCAAAAGUAGCAUUUGAGGGUUCCUAUCAAUGGUUUUAUGAAGGCAGAAAUGGUUGGUGGCAGUAUGAUGAUCGAACUAGUUUUGAAAUUGAAGCUGCAUACAAGGAGGGAGAAGAGCAAUGUGAGGUUCUUAUUGCUGGAUUUCUUUAUGUAAUUGAUUUCCCAAAGGAGCUGCAAUUCAGACGAUGUGACCCUUCUAGGAAGAGGCGCAUCAAAAGAGAUUUAGUUUCUAUACCCAAAAAAGGAGUGGCCGGUGUCCGUGAUAACCUAGAUGCUGCCUCUGUUGACUCUCUGAAUCUGGCUGGUAUGACUCUUUCUGAUCAACCUGAUGAAAAUGCAACUUGUUCUGUAGAAUGUUGUGGUAACCUCACACAUUUGCCUGAUGAAAAAUCAUCUACCAAUAACAUUCAGGACAUUCCGUCAGGGAGUUGAAAAAAUGUUUUCUGUGAUUGGGUGAUGUUUAUUUUGUGUAUGUCGUGAAGUGAAACCAGAAAAUUCAAGUGUUCACAAAAACUGACAUCUUUAAAAUGUUUCUAAAUAGUCAGUAAUGAUUAAUAGACUAUUUUAAAUAGAUCUGCAAUGUGUUUUAAAAUUUCUCUAAUCGAAUUUAAAUUUUCAAUCCAAAUAACUGAAUUAAACAAACUAUUUUUAGGUAAAAAAUAUUUGUUGCUGAAAAUAUAUCUCUUUAUUUUAUAUGAGGAAGUGUACUGAAUAUAUUCAUCAAGUUGCCUCUUAACCUAAAAGUUAUUUUUCAAGUUUUAAACUAUCUCUUUUUUUAUCUUGAUAGUUAUCUCUUGACAUUAAAGCUUUCUCUCUUUAACUUGAGGGCACACUUUCUGCCCAUGAUCUACUCCAAAAUCUUAACAGUUUUCAAUAGAACAAACUAAACCGUCUUAAGUAUUAAUGUAUUAUGAUAUGUUUUAUAAAUUUGUAUUUACAAAAUGGUAUGAAAAAAAGUGGAAAUUUUCAGCAUUGAAAAGAGAUUAUAAAAAUUAUAAUUUCAAUUGAAUUAUUCAAAUUUUGCAAUUAUGGGAUCCAUUUGUUUUUAAAUGGUGAAUGCCAUUAUCAAAUCUUAAUUAAGUGUAAAAAAUAGGUUGAAUACAUCAAACUAAGCAUCCUGAAGAGUUUAAAAUUUUGAAUAAAAUCCUCCGUAUUAUUAUAUAAAAAAAUCUGAAGAUUUUGGAAUUAUUAAUGUAGUGUAAACGAGGAAGGCUGCUGUUGAGAUUGGCUGAUUCGGUGGGGUCUGAUUUUCUUGCAAUUAAUGAAAAGAAUUGGAUAUCAAAGAUAAAGAUAGUCAUUAUGGAGAAAUCUUCAAAGGAAUGCUUUGACCCAUAAUGGGUAGUCUGGCCAGCUAUGAUGAUGAAUAUAGUGUAAGCAAAUAGAAUAGAAUUAAGUUUUUGCCUUUUGAAAUUCAUUGUAGAGACAUAAAAUUAUUAGUCACUUAAAUAAAUGCUCAAGUACUCACUGAGAACAAGCUUGCUAUUAAAACACCUGCAAUUUCCAUGAUGAAUAUGAAAGAGAAAUAUAUUCAAAAUCUUUUAAACUCAAAAGCAUUCUUUUAAAUUCAAAAGCAAUCUUUAAGUUAAUAAAAAAGAAAUUACUACAAUUAGCGAAAUCUUUUCGUUAUUCAAAUAAACAUUUAAAUUCCACAAUUUUUCUUCUCAGUCUUAAACACGUUUUUAUAUAGUUAAUUCAAUUUGAAUUUUUAAGUCAUUUUUACAUUUAUGAAGAACUUUUAAGUAUUUAAGAGAGUUUCAAUUUCUAACCGUCUUAUUAUUCUAAAGUUCAGAAUCUUGUAGAUUAAAUAUAUAUACACAUCACCCAGAGCUGGCCAAGCACCUGACCCUAUUUUUAGAGCUCUAUCUUUUAACAGCUGUGGUAGGGAAUACCACAUAAUUUUUACUCUGGCAGUGCUGACAUGCCUCUCUUCAAACUUUCACUCCACAACUAACUUUCAGCCAUGACAAAUUUAACAUGCACCUUGCUCUGUAUGCACACCAAUUGUGUCCAUCAGCGUCUAUCAAAUAUACAUAGUUGAGUUAUAAAAUAAAUGUAUAAAUUUCAAAAUUCAAAGAAAGUGAUGGGGAAUUUGUGCUGGUUAUUGGACCUUUUGGCAAUCUAAAACUGAUUUGAAAAAAAGUCGAUUAUGCAAUGUCGUUUAUCUGAGUUAACUAAAAUCUUGCAGAACAAGAUCUCUAAUUUUUUUAGAUCCAAAUGGGCAAUAUCCCUUUUCAAUGAACACCUUGCUCAAAGGAGCAUUUUAACACCUGCGCUAGCUUUUUUUUUUUUUUUUUUUGUAACUUUACAAGGAAAAUCAAAUUAUCAAAGAAAUCUAACAAUCAAACGCUUUAUUUUGGGCUCCAAUCGAAAAUCAAAAAGUUAGCAGCUUUGCCCCUCACCCAAACCUAACCUAAUCUGUCAGAGUGUAAGCAGCAUUGCUAACUAAAAAGUGUUUUUGCCUCUCAGUGUUGUCACAAUAUUCCUAAAAAGAGGCGUGUUGCCACUAUAGUGAUUAGAGCUUAAAAUUUAUUGUUUUAACAUGAUUAUAAUUAUGAUUCAACAUACAAUAAAAUAUGCAACAUAAAUUUCAAAAGAAAUAACAUGACAAGUUUUAUCAAAAUAAAUUUUAACAACUUAUAGGUUAUUAUAAUUUAUCUAAAAAUUAUUGCGCCACCUUCUUUUGAUCUUUGAUAUUAAAAUAUUUUUAUUUUCUAAUUGAACUUGAAUAUUUUUUUGGUUGAUGCUGUCAUCAAUAUUUUAAAUUAAAUAAAAAUACUUGUUUUGUUUUUACUGUACAGUUAGUAGUUUUGUUUUCUGAAUAAUUGUAAAUGUUAAUUUUUUGAGGUAAAUAAAAAAUCAAUUUUCUCAGUA